rnacentral:sRNA from 1 species
GAAAAUUCUCUUCCAAAAUAUAAAAUUGAGAAAAGGGACAGAGCAUGGGGCAUGGGCAUGGGUCAAGAGGGCAUCAGUGCUUCCACAUUGAGGUGGAAACAUCUGACCAUUGGUGGAUAAUGUUGCAUAGUGCAUCAAACCCGAUGACGAGCAUGGAUACUCGUGUGAGGAGUUCUCGACGGACGAAAAGUGCAUGAGCGUGAGCUAUGAACAAUUAUCGGUGUAUCUACUCGGAGAAGUUUGGUGCUCUGUCUGUUAGGUUGUUCGAUCUUCACAUAAUUCGAGGAGAAUGAUUCUGGUAGAUUCGACUGGUUGCCAGAAGAGUCUAUAAAUUAAGCUUACGAGAAUAAAUACAAUCUGUGAAUAGGUUUUUCUAAAUUAUUAAUCGGUCACACCAGAAGAAGUUGUUGGAACAUAUAUGAAUGCUUCUGGCAGUGAAGUCCGCAAAAGUUAAGGUGUUGUUCUGAAGGGAGAGCAAUGAAGAGGUUCAGUUUGUGCAUACAUGUAUUCAUCCUCGGUUUCCGUUAGAAAGGAGUGGAUGACCUGAAUUAGAGCGAGAUGACAGAUGGAAGAGAACUCCUGGGAGAUGGGCAAAGAGAACCACAGGCGCACAGACCCUCAUAUCAGGAAGCACUUGAAUUAUUCUUUCGCACUGAUAUUUGUUUGGCAGCCGGAUGCCAUCAAGGAACAAUCUAGCCUCCUCCUGUCGUGAUAGAUCAUUACAUAAGCUAUUUGGUUCAGUGAGUUACAUUUUCAACUUAUUUAUUCCUUCAAGGUCUUGCACUACACAUAAAAUUACAUGGCCUCGAUCCUGCGGCGCCCGUUCUGUGGUGUUCGGAUCACAGCAUUCGGUCCCUGGGUCCGAUGGGGCUGCAGAAGCACUUGGUACGAGAAGAAAAAA